CUUUGUCUAACUACAGUUAUAGAUCUGUUCUGUAAGAAAAAAAAAAUUCAAUGCUGUGCUAUGCAAUUUCCAAGAAUCUUCAGAAAGACAGUAUGCCUCUGACCUUUUAGUCGUUGCCUUCAUGAAGUCAUUUGGGCUGAAAAAAGGUCUCCGAUAUACUAUCUAUUCUACUGUAUUUUACAAUUACACAAACAUGGCAAAAAAAAAAAAAAAAUACAAUUGCUG